CAUAUGGAGGUUCCCAGGCUAGGGGUCAAAUCAGAGCUGUAGUUGCCAGCCUAUGCUACAGCCACACCACAGCAACACCAGAUCUGAGCCUCAUCUGUAACCUACACCACAGCUCAUGUAACCUACACCACAGCUGAUGGCAAUGCUGUAUCCCUAACCCACUGAACAAGGCCAGGGAUUGAACCCAAGACCUCAUGGGUAUUAGUGGGGUUCAUUACUGAUUAGACACGAUGGGAACUCCCCUCUGUGUUCCUUUUUAAGAGACAAGGGCCUUUGUCCACCACGGAGCCAAAGGCCACACCUCUAGAUUGCACCUGCUGUUUCUGCCCUGGCCCUUCACUCUUUCAUGCUCUCCCAGCCACCCUGUCCCCCUCAACCAGGCAUUAGUCUGCUUUCUUUUUUUCUGAGAAUUAGUCUCUUUCUGAGCAGAUCUUCUCUGGGCAGCAAAUCUCCAAUAGUGGUCAACGGGUCAAUGUCAGAAAUAAACAAAUGGGCCCAUGUCACAUCCUAGAAUUCUAAGACUGUGAUAACAUUGAUGGAGAUGCAAAGGAUCAUGGGAGCCAUACCCAUUGGGGAUUGGAGGUUUUUUUCCUUUUCUGUAGCUUGCAAGGAGAAAGAACUAGAAUGUUCUAAUUUUACAGAAAUAGAUUUAACUUCUGAUGUCAGACAACUGUAGCAUAGAAUAGGAAUCUCACAAUCAAGCACAUGGUCAGGUAGAUCUUUCUGUGAGAGUAGAAAUGUCCCAUGUCUGCGCUCAGAGGGUUUUGAACACUUGAAAUAUGGCUACUGCAAAUGGGAAAUCAUAUUUUAAGUUUAUUGGAUUUUGCUACCUUUACAGCUACAUGUGCCAAGUGGCCUCUGUAUUGAAGUGUUUAAGGGGUACCCAACAGACAAGUAAAUGCCAGGCACCAUAAGUUUGGCAAAGGCUUCUAAACGUUAAUAUAUUCUGCUUGAGCUCUAAUAUGUAAAUUCGAACAGGCAAAAACAGGGGACUUAGGAAGUUCCAUUCUUUCUGAGGGCAAACCACAGACCCUGCUAGCUCUCGCACCAUUUAAGGAUGAGUAGCAAUAAAAAGAAAAUAAACAUUGGACCCAAGAAUAUAUUUUGACACAUGAAAGGGCAAAUAUAUGCUUCAUCUUCUAGUGCGGGAAACAAAAAUCUCUUUUGAAAUCUAUUGCUUAAUGUUGCUUAAAUUCUCCAUAAUGCUCAAGAAUAGAAAUGCUCUAUAAGAGGAAAAUUGGAAGAUUAGCUGUUGAGACAACAAAUGGAGGUGGAAAAAUAGGUGGCUGAAUAUCAGGAAGAGAUAAAAAUGUUGUUAGAUGAAAUAAGGACCGAUUAUACACAAUUGAAAUGCAAUCACAGAACUGCAAUCUGCAUUAGAAGCCCCAAAAGACAGAAUCAAUAAUGUAAAAAUCAAAGGCUCAAUCUGAAAGAUGCAUCUUCAAAGCUCCACUUGACUAUAGAUUUAAAAAAUGCAAAGAGACGCAAACCACUAAAGUUAAGAGGCACAAACGGAACAGAAGCAAUAAGCAAAUACAUAAUCAGAGAAAAUAGUCAUAAAUACAAAGACAGACACAAGGCACAGAUUGAAAGAGGUCAUUAAAAGUAAAAUAAGUAAAAAGAAGCCAAGAGAUAGAUAUGUCUUUCAUGAGGUUGUUUUUUAAGAGUUCAUCAAAAAUUCCAAGAGUUUUCAGGCAAACCUAUCUCUUUUCCCAUGCCCCCGAAAAAGAGAAAGACACAGGAGAGAAUAAUAGAUUUAGUAUUUCACCAGCUAUCUUAAUAUCAUUCUUGAGAGCCAACUGUAUGCAUACACAAUAGCCACAGAGCUUUCAUUCACCUUCCCUCUUUUACUGGAUUUUUAGGGAGUUCCCUGGUGGCUCAGAGGGAUAAAGAUCAGUGUUGUCACUACUGUGGCCCUGGCUACAGCUAUAGCAUGGGUUCAAUUACUGGCCCUGGAACUUCCACAUGCCACAGGCACAGCCAAAAAUAAAAAUAGAAUCAGUCUUAAAAUGAUAAAAUUAUUUUUUGGAGGGGCCAUGCCCAUGGCAUGCAGAAAUUUCCUGGGCCAGGGACCAAACCCCCACCAUAGCAAUGACAAUGGCAAAUCCUUAACCAGAUGAACCACCAGGGAACUCUGAUAAAAAUAUUUUUUAAAGUAAUAAUUUCAUAAAGUAAUUAAAUACUGAUCUAUUUGAGAGGACAUUGAUUUUUUUCUCAAUAUUCAAGAUUCCACCAAUAAUAUCAGGGUUUUUUUCCUUAUUAAAAUAUGAAUGGUAUAGCCUCUCCAGUAGUUCUUUCACAGAUUUAUUCAAGAUAAUUACAUUUUGAACCCUUCAUAAAACUGCAUUUUUAACAAUAUUCAGAAAUUGGUCCAAAAUAGGCUAUAAUUUUUCACAGUUAUGUCUUUUAUGACUCUUAAAACUGUUAAACUUUAAUGGAUCAUGAUAAAACUAGAUCUGGAGAUUCUUAAGGUCAAACUCCUCAUUAAUUUUUUUUUCUUUUUUGCUUUUUAGGG
rnacentral:lncRNA from 1 species